rnacentral:lncRNA from 1 species
CUAUGGUACAAGGCACUGCCAAACCUAUUUGGUACAAAUUCUCUAUUCAUCAAAAAGAAGGAACCAAAGCCUGGCAGGAGAGUGGGUGGAUGAGGUCUCCCACAAGAUCUCUGACCUAAAGGUCAAAACUCUUUAGCCCCCUGUAUUUUAGCAGCCACAGAAUUCAGCUUCCACCUAGAUACAGCAAAUGUUAGCACAGAACCACAGAAUCAUAGAAGAAAAUCUGGUUGGAAGAGACCUCUGGAAAUAAUCCAAUCCAUCCCCCUGCUCAAAGCAGGGCCAACUUCAACAGUUGCUCAUAUCUUUACACUUCUUCAGCCUGUGUUCAGAAAUAAGGUCUGUGACUGAGUUUGUUCUCCUUCAGCAGAAACUGUGUAAAAAUUCUGCUUUUCAAGACCUAAUCCAGGGAGAUCUUGGCACGCAGCAGACUGGGUGACUUUUCCCUUUAUAUUUCCUCACUAGUAUUCUAAAUAUCAUCUGAAUUCCAGCCCCACAAAUUCAGUGGCAGCUAUUUCCUUUUCCUCCAUGUUAAGGCAGCCGAUUACCCUCCAAAACCAGCCCAAAACUCUCAGUGUCUCACCUCGAGUUUCCCAGAGUUUAAUGCACUUUCUGACAUUUGGUGACACAUUUAGACCUGUGCUCAUCCUCCAUUUCCAGGCAAAGCUGGUGCAUGCUGCAGCAAGAAUUGUAUAAAUAGUGAAUUGUAUAAAUAGUAACAAUAUCCUCAGCACCUGAUUUUUUGCUCAGAAAGAUGGGAAGGCAACACCAGAGAUUGAAAACGUUGGUUUUUACUCUGAAGGAGAGGAGUGUGUAGUCCAUCCUGAAGACUUGGCUUCUUUCGAUGUCCUAUUGAAAAUAACAGCCCUGCUUCCAUGGCUCUCCCUUUUUUUCAUGUUCAUUCAGGUUUGAACUGAUUAUCCCCCAUGGCUGCAUCCUAUGAGUGGCAUUUAUGGUCCUUCUCCUCCUCCAACAAGGAGGAGGAUCCAACAAGGAGAAGAUCCAACAAGGAGAAGAUGACGUGCAGGAUGAAAUGUGGGAGCACAGGUCACCAAAAAGCUGCAGCACAAAACCUCUCCUAAGAAGGACCUCACCAAAGAUGACUCCAACGAGCACACGAUCCACCAAUCCGUCACCUCCCAGGAUCCCACAUGAGAAGAAGUCUCCAUGGAUCCCUUGCUUGUCCCCCAUCAUGCUGGAAAAAAGGAAACCUGAGAUGAGGUUGGCUCUUGCAACUGUGCAAAUGCAAAAUUCUUAGAUAGAAUCAACAUGACUGUUCAUGUGAGGUGGCUUUAGCAACACAGAAGUUCACUGGACCAUUCCUAUGGAUAUCUUGUUUAGUAAAUGAG